AUCGCUCGGGCAGUUUGGGCCAUAGUUCAAGUAGCUUCGAAUCUAUACCCACCACGUAGUGCACGGAACAUGUUUGGCAACUGGUUGCGGGGUAUUGAUAAACAAUUUUCUGCACAUAUUCUUGUGGGAGCGGCGGCCUUAUGUUGGGCACUGUGGCUUACCAGGAAUGAUGUGAUUUUUAAUAACAAAUGUGUCUCAUCUCCUAUGCAGGUUAUUUAUGUGUGUACACGAUGGCUCCGUACUUGGUCUAUCCUGCAGAGGCCGGAGGACAGAGACCUUUUUAUGAUGGCGUCUACACGGCUGGAGCGUACGGCCAGGGAGGUUUUCUACCCCCAUGGAUGGCGGUGUGACCUACGGAUAGGAUCUGCCAGUCCUUAG
rnacentral:rRNA from 1 species